rnacentral:lncRNA from 1 species
AAUACAAAUAUUAUAAAGUAAUUUUAUUUUUAUUAUAAAUAUAUAUGUACAGUAUAUUUUAUUAUAUAGGAUAAUUUUAUAUUAAGCUAUUGUAUAAUAUUAAAAUAAAUAAAUGUGUGUGCAUAUAUAUAUAUAUAUAUAACAAUAUUAUAAGUAGUGUGAUAAAUAUUUAAUUUAUGUAAAUAACAUUUAAUAUUUAAUAUAAAAUUUAAUAAAUAAUAGAUAAUUCAAGAGGAAUAAUAUAAGAUAAUUGUUUCUUUUCUUUUUCAUUUCCAUUUUUUUUUUUGAGAGAGAUAGGUAGGAAGCACGUUACCCGCUUCGUUUAUUUCAUUUAGAAAUAAAUUUAGCUAGAAAUUUGAAUCAACUAGGAUUCGAACUUGGGUCCUCGAGUACCAACCACCAAGUCUUUUGCCACUUGUUCUAGAGACGGUCGGUUUUUCAUUUCCAUUUUCUCCCGUACAAUUAA